GGAGGAGUCGCAUAGUGGUCUAGUGCACCUGUCUUGAAAACAGGCGUGGGGAAACCCACCGAGAGUUCGAAUCUCUCCUCCUCCG
rnacentral:tRNA from 1 species